AAUUUGAGAUUACCACUGCCCAAGGGUGAGGAGGCCCGUAUGCAAUGCUGUUUGAACAGGCUUUGAAAAUCUAAAACAAACACAUUUUGAGUUGAAAUAAACUUGGACUCGCAAGUACAUAAAAAAUAAACCAUGGAUCGUACCUUUGAGGUAAAAGGACCAACAGGCAUCCU